rnacentral:misc_RNA from 1 species
GCAAACUUGGUCAUUUAGAGGAAGUAAAAGUCGUAACAAGGUUUCCGUAGGUGAACCUGCGGAAGGAUCAUUAUUGAAUAAACUUGGUUUAGACUGUUGCUGGCCCUCCAGGGCAUGUGCACGCCUAUUCCGACUUUAUAACCACCUGUGCACUUCAUGUAGAUCUGAAUAUCUCUCGAGGAAAAACUCGGUUUUGAGGAUUGCAGUGCUUAUUGCCGGCUUUCCUUCAUACUUUAGAUCUAUGUUUCACUAAUACACCGUAUAAAGUAUUUGAAUGUGAUACUUAGGCAUCUGCCUGUAAACCUAAAUACAACUUUCAACAACGGAUCUCUUGGCUCUCGCAUCGAUGAAGAACGCAGC